AGGUUCAACCAGGUGCAUCUGAUUCCAAGCCAAUGCUCUCCAGACCACCCCACAAUGAUGGUCAUGAAAUAGGUUCUGUUGGGUUGCAGGACAACCCAGGUGGCUUCUGAGUAGGUCCAGCAGGUGAUGUUUCAGAAGGACCUCUAAGGAAUUAUAGUGGUCUUUUUCUAAGUGAGAGGAGUCAUGAGGUUUUCCUCUGUAAAGUCACCACAGUGACAUACUUAUUUAUCUUGAUAAUUAGAGGGCAGAGAUGGAAGUGAACAGGAUGCUCAAUUUCUCUCUCUCUCAUCUCUGGCAAUGGUACACCUAUUUGAAGAGAUGACAUUUUUUAAGAAGGGUGCUUAGUGAAGGGAGAGGUAUUAAUCUAAGAUAAUUUACUGUUUCUCAAUCUCUGAAAAAAAUUUAAAUAGGAAUCUCAUUGAAAUAGGAUUCUUUUCAUAUUUUAAAAUAAACUUACAUAUCAUUCACUAAAAAUUACUUUUUUAUGGCAUGAUAUUAAUACUAAGAAGUUUUUGCUCAUAGGGCCAGAUAAUGUGCCUUUUCUGUUAAUGCAUUGGGUCAUUCAAUUUUAUAGGAUUUUCCUCAUAAUUUCAGAGAUUGUUUUUAUCUCUUUUUAGCCAAUGUACAGCAAAUGAUGGUGAUAAUCAAGAAAUGCAUGGAGGAAAACACUAAAAUUCUGGAAAAUCUAUCCCAUUGGGAAAAAAUGAUCAGAGAAUCAAAGGAAUGGAUUCAACACACGAAGAGGAGCAAUGACAGCCUGUCUGAUGAAGUAAACCAACUUAGGGUUAACAUCAAAACCCUGGAAGAGAAAAAUGAAACACUGACUGACAUCCUUGAGCAGACACAAUCAUCCCUAGAGAAUGAGAGGCUUCAGAAUGCCAACAGUCAGGAUUUGGUGAGAGUUUUAGGACUUGGUGUUACUGUUGUUUGGUUUUUGAGUCUCUGUACAUGAGGUGAAAAGUG
rnacentral:lncRNA from 1 species